rnacentral:rRNA from 1 species
AUCGAACGCUGGCGGCAGGCUUAACACAUGCAAGUCGAGCGAGCGGCGGACGGGUGAGUAAUGUCUGGGAAACUGCCUGAUGGAGGGGGAUAACUACUGGAAACGGUAGCUAAUACCGCAUACCAUCAGAUGUGCCCAGAUGGGAUUAGCUAGUAGGUGGGGUAAUGGCUCACCUGGGCGACGAUCCCUAGCUGGUCUGAGAGGAUGACCGGCCAAACGGGAACGGGGAAAGGGUCCAGACUCCUACGGGAGGCACAAGUGGGGAAUAUUGGACAAUGGGGGCAAGCCUGAUGCAGACAUGCCGCGGGUGUGAAGAAGGCCUUCGGGUUGUAAAGCACUUUCAGCGAGGAGGCGUUACUCGCAGAAGAAGCAACGGCUAACUCCGUGCCAGCAGCCGCGGUAAUAC